rnacentral:rRNA from 1 species
UAAAGUGGCGCACGGGUGAGUAACACGUGACUAACCUACCCUUGAGUGGGGAUAACCUCGGGAAACCGGGGCUAAUACCGCAUAAUAUCGAGAGAUCAAAGGAGCAAUUCGCUUAAGGAAGGGGUCGCGGCUGAUUAGCUAGUUGGUGAGGUAAUGGCUCACCAAGGCUAUGAUCAGUAUCCGGCCUGAGAGGGCGCACGGACACACUGGAACUGAAACACGGUCCAG